rnacentral:rRNA from 1 species
UACGGAGGGUGCGAGCGUUGUCCGGAAUCACUGGGCGUAAGGGGCGCGUAGGCGGCCUGGCAAGUCGAUGGUGAAAGCCCGAGGCUCAACUUCGGGUCGGCCACUGAUACUGCUGGGCUUGAGUCGACUAGAGGCAGAUGGAAUUCCGGGUGUAGCGGUGGAAUGCGUAGAGAUCCGGAAGAACACCGGUGGCGAAGGCGGUCUGCUGGGGUCGAACUGACGCUGAGGCGCGACAGCGUGGGGAGCAAACAGG